CUGCAAUUUCACUUCACACGGGGGGAAAAAAAAACGUGCGUUUUGACAGCUGAUGGAGCCUAACAGGUCUGAAGGUAACCCGAUGCUUCGGUGUGAGGAGACGGCUGGCUUACAUCCCGCUGCGUCUCCUGGUUCCUGGUUUGGUCUCAGGUGACUCAGCUGCACCAACGGCAGAGGAGAUUCACAGCUAGAGAUGUGUCAUCAAAACUUUGACAGAUUAGUGCCAAGAAUAAUUAAAAAAUGGUUGCUUCUUUCC